UACGUAGGGGGCUAGCGUUGUCCGGAAUCAUUGGGCGUAAAGCGCGUGUAGGCGGUCCGGUAAGUCCGCUGUGAAAGUCGGGGGCUCAACCCUCGAAUGCCGGUGGAUACUGUCGGGCUAGAGUACGGAAGAGGCGAGUGGAAUUCCUGGUGUAGCGGUGAAAUGCGCAGAUAUCAGGAGGAACACCAAUUGCGAAGGCAGCUCGCUGGGACGUGACUGACGCUGAGACGCGAAAGCGUGGGGAGCAAACAGG
rnacentral:rRNA from 1 species